rnacentral:misc_RNA from 1 species
AAGUCGUAACAAGGUUUCCGUAGGUGAACCUGCGGAAGGAUCAUUAUAGUAUAUGGAAUCUCCAUUCUAUAAACCCACUCUGUGUAUCUUGUAACUGUUGCUUCCAUGGGACUUGGUCCUGCCACACCGGCUUCACGGCUGGUGAGCGCCCAUGGGAGGAGAAACAAAACUCUUCUUUGAAAUGUAGUCAGUCUGAACAAGUUUUUAUAAACGUUAAAA